rnacentral:rRNA from 1 species
CAGUCACAUAGAGUUUGAUCCUGGCUCAGGACGAACGCUUGCGGCGUGCCUAAGAAAUGCAAGUCGAACGGAUGACUUCGGUCAUUAGUGGCGAACGGUCGCGUAACACGUAGGCAACCUGCCCAGAAGUGGGGGACAACAGCCUGAAAGGGCUGCUAAUACCGCAUGUGGCCCUGUUGUGGCAUCACGACAGGUCUAAAGCUUUUAUGUGCUUCUGGAUGGGCUUGCGGCCUAUCAGGUAGUUGGUGGGGUAAUGGCCUACCAAGCCGACGACGGGUAGCUGGUCUGAGAGGACGAUCAGCCGGAUUGGGACUGAGAUACGGCCCAGACUCCUACGGGGGGCAGCAAUUAGGAAUCUUGCGCAAUGGGGGCAACCCUGACGCAGCGACGCCGCGUGCGGGAUGAAGGCAUUCGUGUCGUAAACCGCUUUUUACGGGGAAGAAGGAUUUGACGGUACCCGUCGAAUAAGCCCCGGCUAACUACGUGCCAGCAGCCGCGGUAAUACGUAGGGGGCGAGCGUUGUCCGAAGUUACUGGGCGUAAAGCGCGCGUAGGCGGUUCAUUUAGUUCGGGGUGAAAGGUUCAGCGCUCAACGCGAACAGUGCCUUGAAUACUGGUGGACUUGAGUUCGGGAGAGGGCAGUGGAAUUCCUGGUGUAGCGGUGAAAUGCGUAGAUAUCAGGAGGAACACCGAUGGCGAAGGCAGCUGCCUGGGCCUAGAACUGACGCUGAGGUGCGAAAGCGUGGGGAGCGAACAGGAUUAGAUACCCUGGUAGUCCACGCCGUAAACGAUGAGUGCUAGGUGUUCGGGGUAUCGACCCCCCGGGUGCCGCCGCUAACGCAGUAAGCACUCCGCCUGGGGAGUACGGCCGCAAGGUUGAAACUCAAAGGAAUUGACGGGGGCCCGCACAAGCGGUGGAGCAUGUGGAUUAAUUCGUCACUAACCGAAGAACCUUACCCAGGCUUGACAUCGCGUGUAACUCUAUGAAAGUAGAGCCUCUCCGCAAGGAGACACAAAGACAGGUGUUGCAUGGCUGUCGUCAGCUCGUGUCGUGAGAUGUUGGGUUAAGUCCCGCAACGAGCGCAACCCUCACCGUAUGUUGGCAGCGUUAAGUCGGCAACUCUUACGGAACUGCCCGUGCAAGCGGGAGGAAGGUGGGGAUGACGUCAAGUCGGCAUGGCCCUUACGCCUGGGGCUUCACACAUGCUACAAUGGGCAGCAACAGACGGCUCCGAGACCGCGAGGUGGAGGGAAUCCGAGAAAUCUGUCCUCAGUUCGGAUUGCAGGCUGCAACUCGCCUGCAUGAAGCUGGAAUCGCUAGUAACCGCAGGUCAGCUAAACUGCGGUGAAUACGUUCCCGGGCCUUGUACACACCGCCCGUCAAGUCACCUGAAUUGUCUGCACCCGAAGUCAGUGGCCAAACCGUAAGGAUGGAGCUGCCUAAGGUGUGGGGAGUAAGGGGGACUAAGUCGUAACAAGGUAGCCG